rnacentral:lncRNA from 1 species
CCAGUAUUAGUAAUAUUUUCUUUUGCAUUUACUGCUGUUUCUUUACUUCUUUCUUCACCACAGCUUCCUCCUCCUUCUCCACCACCACCACCACCACCACCAGCCACCACUAUGGCCACCGUAUCCUCCAUCAGCCAUUGUUCCCUGUUAGCCAUUCUUUUCCACCAGCUCCUCCACCAACCACCCUACCUCAACCUCCUUUCCCCUCCCCACAGUCUCAACCUCAGCUCCAACCAAGGUAC